GACGAACGCUGGCGGCGUGCUUAACACAUGCAAGUCGAACGGAAAGGCCCUGCUUGCAGGGUACUCGAGUGGCGAACGGGUGAGUAACACGUGGGUUAUCUGCCCUGCACUUCGGGAUAAGCCUGGGAAACUGGGUCUAAUACCGGAUAGGAGCCAUUUUUAGUGUGAUGGUUGGAAAGUUUUUUCGGUGUAGGAUGAGCUCGCGGCCUAUCAGCUUGUUGGUGGGGUAAUGGCCUACCAAGGCGGCGACGGGUAGCCGGCCUGAGAGGGUGGACAGCCACAUUGGGACUGAGAUACGGCCCAGACUCCUACGGGAGGCAGCAGUGGGGAAUAUUGCACAAUGGGCGCAGGCCUGAUGCAGCGACGCCGCGGGGGGGAUGACGGCCUUCGGGUUGUAAACUCCUUUCGCUAGGGACGAAGCUUUUUGUGACGGUACCUAGAUAAGAAGCACCGGCUAACUACGUG
rnacentral:rRNA from 1 species